rnacentral:rRNA from 1 species
GUCUAUGGCCAUAUCACCCUGAAUGUGCCUGAUCUCGUCUGAUCUUGGAAGCUAAGCAGGGAUAGACCUGGUUAGUACUUGGAUGGGAGAAAAUAAAUAUUGAAUGAUGUAUAUA